GGUUCGGUUUUGUUUGAUAUUUAUUAAAAACAAUUUAUUUAAUAACGAUUACUGGUAAAUUCGCGAGGAAAACUGUUUAUUAUUAAACUUUACGUGUGAUUCGAAAGUUUGGAACGGACCCGAGACAAUAAGGUUGGAUUUUGUCACACUGUAUGGGUCUGGGAAAGACUUUGCAAGUCUUGGAAGUAACCGGAGGUAAACGAUAUUGGUCAAUCUUGAAACCACUGGCGUUUUAACCGCCUCUCGGAAACUCUCAUCUUGGACCAAAAACACAACCGCUGGACAAACACGACGUUGCCGCUACCCCACCGCUUUCUCGCCAGGAUCGUUUACAGAUUUUAAGCGCAAAAUCAUAAUCGCCAACAAUGCUAACCGAACGCGGCUCUCAUUAAGAAAACAGCCACCAACGUCGAUUCCACAAUGAACGACCACAAUUCAACCGGCUCAGGCGCAAAUCAGCUGAAUCAAGGGUGAACUCGAAUUGGUCAAGUACAUCAAGUACAUCCGCAUGAAGUUGCGACGGAUUUGCAAGGCCAUUAUUCCGGCUGACCAAUCGCUUAUUGCAGCUAGACAGCCAAUGGACUUCAUACCGGGCAUGAAGCUGGGGGUGGUGGAUCGCAAGAACCAAAUGCUCAUUCGGCCGCCAACGGUCGCGGCCACGGACGGGUGCAAAAUUAAAGUAUGCUUCAAUGAUUGGCCAAAUUUUUACUCUUCUGGAUUGAGGACGAUAGCUGGACAUUCAUCCGAUAUAAGCGGACCUACCAUCCAAUCGAAUUUCCACCAGACCAUCGACCUGCGUGUAUUAAAAGUUUAUUCUGCCUGGGAAAAGAGAAUGCCAAAUUUCUAACGCAAACAACUGCACAACAGAGUAGGAAAUGUACCUACCGGAAUAACAACUGGUUGUUUGAGGAGGGAAAAAGAUACGAUUGAUGCACGAGUCUAAUGCAAAAUUCAAACAUUGGCCAUAAAUGGAGCCGCUGGAUAAGACACGUAAAAGCAUAAUCCACGCAAAACACCAACUCGACGCAGGCAGUUGCGCAGACUACUCUACCAGCUGGCGGCACAAAUUCCGGUAGCAAUAGUGUUCCAAAUCCCAUGCUACGCAACAUUUUUACUUCCCCCGGUGGGAUACUUCUUGAACUUGUGGCCACGACUGCAGGCGCAUCCCUUCAUCGUCCGUUCUUGAACAAAUGAUCCAUGAAUCCACCUUAGCGAAGUGUUCAAAAACGUAGCUUUUUAGCCGUGAAAUAGAUUAAAAAAGAUUAAAAUGUUUCCGUUUCUAACAUAAAUAAAAACAAUGUUUAACAUCAACAAUUGAGCUUUCUGACGUCUAAUCAUUUUUCUCUUUGAAGUGCACAGGAAGGAUAUUAAUACUAUUUACCCAGACUAAGGCCGAAGUGGCCUGUGCGGUAUACAAGAGUCUUCUCCAUUCGGCUACACGUCACCAACCACGCAGUCUACGGAGGGUCCGCAAGUCAUCUUCCACCUGAUCGAUCCACCUUGCCCGCUGCGCACCUAGUCUUCUUGUGCUCGUCUGUUCGUUGUCGAGAAACAUUUUCACCGGGUUACUGCUCGACAUUCUGGCUACGUGCCCGGCCCACCGCAGUCGUCCGAUUUUCGCGGUGUGAACGAUGGAUGGUUCUCCCAGCAGCUCAUGCAA